CAGUGCCGCGGUAAUACAGAGGGUGCGAGCGUUAAUCGGAUUUACUGGGCGUAAAGCGUGCGUAGGCGGCUUCUUAAGUCGGAUGUGAAAUCCCUGAGCUUAACUUAGGAAUUGCAUUCGAUACUGGGAAGCUAGAGUAUGGGAGAGGAUGGUAGAAUUCCAGGUGUAGCGGUGAAAUGCGUAGAGAUCUGGAGGAAUACCGAUGGCGAAGGCAGCCAUCUGGCCUAAUACUGACGCUGAGGUACGAAAGCAUGGGGAGCAAACAGGAUUAGAGACCCCUGUAGUCCCUGUCUCUUAUACA
rnacentral:rRNA from 1 species